rnacentral:rRNA from 1 species
UGACCGCUGGCGGUAGGCCUAACACAUGCACGUCGCACGGCAGCACAGUAAGAGCUUGCUCUUACGGGUGGCGAGUGGCGGACGGGUGAGGAAUACAUCGGAAUCUACUUUUUCGUGGGGGAUAACGUAGGGAAACUUACGCUAAUACCGCAUACGACCUACGGGUGAAAGCAGGGGAUCUUCGGACCUUGCGCGAUUGAAUGAGCCGAUGUCGGAUUAGCUAGUUGGCGGGGUAAAGGCCCACCAAGGCGACGAUCCGUAGCUGGUCUGAGAGGAUGAUCAGCCACACUGGAACUGAGACACGGUCCAGACUCCUACGGGAGGCAGCAGUGGGGAAUAUUGGACAAUGGGCGCAAGCCUGAUCCAGCCAUACCGCGUGGGUGAAGAAGGCCUUCGGGUUGUAAAGCCCUUUUGUUGGGAAAGAAAAGCAGCAGGUUAAUACCCCGCUGUUCUGACGGUACCCAAAGAAUAAGCACCGGCUAACUUCGUG